GUGGGGAAUUUUGGACAAUGGGCGCAAGCCUGAUCCAGCAAUGCCGCGUGCAGGAAGAAGGCCUUCGGGUUGUAAACUGCUUUUGUACGGAACGAAACGGUCCGGGUUAAUACCCUGGGCUAAUGACGGUACCGUAAGAAUAAGCACCGGCUAACUACGUGCCAGCAGCCGCGGUAAUACGUAGGGUGCAAGCGUUAAUCGGAAUUACUGGGCGUAAAGCGUGCGCAGGCGGUUUUGUAAGACAGGCGUGAAAUCCCCGGGCUCAACCUGGGAAUUGCGCUUGUGACUGCAAGGCUGGAGUGCGGCAGAGGGGGAUGGAAUUCCGCGUGUAGCAGUGAAAUGCGUAGAUAUGCGGAGGAACACCGAUGGCGAAGGCAAUCCCCUGGACCUGUACUGACGCUCAUGCACGAAAGCGUGGGGAGCAAACAGGAUUAGAAACCCGGGUAGUCC
rnacentral:rRNA from 1 species